CGAGAGUAGUUUGACUCCGUGGCUACGAGGACGACGCUGGCGGCGUGCUUAACACAUGCAAGUCGAACGGUAAGGCCCUUCGGGGUACACGAGUGGCGAACGGGUGAGUAACACGUGGGUGAUCUGCCCUGCACUUCGGGAUAAGCCUGGGAAACUGGGUCUAAUACCGGAUAGGACCAUGGACUUCACGGUUUGUGGUGGAAAGCUUUUGCGGUGUGGGAUGGGCCCGCGGCCUAUCAGCUUGUUGGUGGGGUAAUGGCCUACCAAGGCGACGACGGGUAGCCGGCCUGAGAGGGUGUCCGGCCACACUGGGACUGAGAUACGGCCCAGACUCCUACGGGAGGCAGCAGUGGGGAAUAUUGCACAAUGGGCGCAAGCCUGAUGCAGCGACGCCGCGUGAGGGAUGACGGCCUUCGGGUUGUAAACCUCUUUCAAUAGGGACGAAGCGCAAGUGACGGUACCUAUAGAAGAAGCACCGGCCAACUACGUG
rnacentral:rRNA from 1 species